rnacentral:rRNA from 1 species
UGGGGAAUAUUGGACAAUGGGCGAAAGCCUGAUCCAGCGACGUCGCGUGGGUGAUUAAGGCCUUCGGGUUGUAAAGCCCUUUCGGCAGGGAAGAUAAUGACGGUACCUGCAUAAGAAGCUCCGGCUAACUUCGUGCCAGCAGCCGCGGUAAUACGAAGGGAGCUAGCGUUACUCGGAAUUAUUGGGCGUAAAGAGUGCGUAGGCGGUUUUGUAAGUCAGAAGUGAAAGCCUGGAGCUCAACUCCAGAAUUGCUUUUGAAACUACAAAACUUGAGUAUCAGAGAGGAUAGUGGAAUUCCUAGUGUAGAAGUGAAAUUCGUAGAUAUUAGGAGGAACAUCAGUGGCGAAGGCGGCUAUCUGGCUGAAUACUGACGCUGUUGCACGAAAGCGUGGGGAGCAAA